CUUAAAAACACCCGUUCCAGACGUCCUGAAAGUGUAUUUUCUUUUUACAGUCAAUUCUCAGUUUAAUAAUUGAUCCACAGCGGUCAUUGAUAUAUUAUUCAGACCCUCUCUAUUAAAUAAACCCUGUGACUGCCGUGGAUAGUAAACUUGAAAAUGAUAUCAGACAGAAAAUACACUUUAUUCGUAGUAUAUGUAUUUGUUUCAAAGUAAAAAGAAAAACGCAAACCGGAGGUCUAAUCUGACUUAAAUUUCGUCCAAUGACGGAUAUAAGACAGAAAAUACACUGUAUUCGUAGUAUUAAUGUAUGUUCAAAGUAUACAGAAAAACGCAAACCGGAAGUCUAAUCUGACUUAAAAUUUCGCCCAAUGACGGAAACAUACCCGGACGUCUUUUUUCUAGUUUUUCA
rnacentral:lncRNA from 1 species